GCUGCGAUGGCCGAGUGGUUAAGGCGUUGCACUCGAAAUCCAAUGGGAUAUUCCCGCGCAGGUUCGAAUCCUGUUCGCAGCG
rfam:Ciona savignyi cont_31978, whole genome shotgun sequence.